rnacentral:rRNA from 1 species
CCUACGGGGGGCAGCAGUGGGGGAUAUUGCACAAUGGGGGGAACCCUGAUGCAGCGACGCCGCGUGGGUGAAGAAGCGCCUCGGCGCGUAAAGCCCUGUCAGCAGGGAAGAAAAUGACGGUACCUGAAGAAGAAGCCCCGGCUAACUACGUGCCAGCAGCCGCGGUAAUACGUAGGGGGCAAGCGUUAUCCGGAUUUACUGGGUGUAAAGGGGGCGCAGACGGGGAUGCAAGCCAGGAGUGAAAGACCGGGGCAAAACCGCGGGACUGCCGUUGGAACUGCGUGGCUGGAGUGCAGGAGGGGCAGGCGGAAUGCCUGGUGUAGCGGUGAAAUGCGUAGAUAUCAGGAGGAACACCGAUGGCGAAGGCGGCAUGCUGGACUGCAACUGACGUUGAGGCCCGAAAGCGUGGGGAGCGAACAGGAUUAGAUACCCCGGUAGUC